CGGGAAAAUGCAAGGUUCUACCGAGCAUUUUCCCGUUUCGUGCCGAAUUUCCCCCUUGGGGUACCAUUUUGGGGUAUUUCCCUAUGAGCGUAGUCUAGGCGGUAAGCAUUGACAAUUUAAGGAAAUAGAAAGGGAAAAUGAAUUUAAUUUUAAUAACAUUUGAUAAACAUGGUAUAUAAAUUACCAAUUUGAAGACAUAACAGGUUUAAAUUCAUAAAAGUUUGACCAUUGUUACUACACGUUGUCAUGGUUGUGACGUGACGUUGUAAGUAGGCGGGGC
rnacentral:lncRNA from 1 species